rnacentral:rRNA from 1 species
CGCUGGCGGCGUGCCUAAUACAUGCAAGUCGAACGGUCUUUCUAUGGAAGCUUGCUUCCGACUGAGAAGAUAGUGGCGAACGGGUGAGUAACACGUGGGUAACCUGCCCAUAAGAGGGGGAUAACGAUCCGGAAACGGGUGCUAAUACCGCAUAGUUUUCUUGAUUGCAUGAUUGAGAAAGGAAAGACGGCCUUUGUGCUGUCGCUUAUGGAUGGACCCGCGGCGUAUUAGUUAGUUGGUGAGGUAACGGCUCACCAAGACGAUGAUACGUAGCCGACCUGAGAGGGUGAUCGGCCACAUUGGGACUGAGACACGGCCCAAACUCCUACGGGAGGCAGCAGUAGGGAAUCUUCCGCAAUGGACGAAAGUCUGACGGAGCAACGCCGCGUGAGUGAAGAAGGUUUUUCCGGAUCGUAAAACUCUGUUGUCAGAGAAGAACAAGUUGGAGAGUAACUGCUCCAGCCUUGACGGUAUCUGACCAGAAAGCCACGGCUAACUACGUGCCAGCAGCAGC